rnacentral:rRNA from 1 species
GAGUUUGAUCCUGGCUCAGGAUGAACGCUAGCGGAACGCCUAACACAUGCAAGUCGAACGGAUUCUGCGUUGUAGCAAUACAUAGUAGAAUUAGUGGCAAACGAGCGAGUAACGCGUGCCUAACCUGCCCUUAAGAUGGGAACAACUACGGAGACGUAGCUAAAUCCCAAUAUGCUCACGAUGGUGAAAUGCCGAUGCGAGGAAAGAUUUAUCGCUUAAGGAGGGGGGCGCGUCCUAUCAGGUAGUUGGUUGAGGUAACGGCUCACCAAGCCUAUGACAGGUAGCUGGUCUGAGAUGAUGUCCAGCCGCGAUGGGACUGAGAUACGGCCCAUACUCCUACGGGAGGCAGCAGUGGGGAAUCUUGCACAAUGGACGAAAGUCUGAUGCAGCGAUCCCGCGUGAAGGAUGAAGCAUUACGGUGUGUAAACUUCUUUUUUGGUGGAAGACGAAUGACGGUACACCAAGAAUAAGAGACGGCUAACUACGUGCCAGCAGCCGCGGUAAUACGUAGGUCUCAAGCGUUAUCCGGAUUUACUGGGCGUAAAGUAUCCGUAGCCUGAUAUGUAAGUCUGUUUUCAAAUCCCACGACUCAAUCGUGGAAAGGGAAUGGAUACUGCAUAUCUAGAAGUUAUUGGGGGUUAGUGGAAUUUCCGGUGGAGCGGUGAAAUGCGUUGAUAUCGGAAAGAACGCCGAAAGCGAAAGCAGCUAACUAUGAUUAACUUGACGGUGAGGGAUGAAAGUUUGGGUAGCAAACGGGAUUAGAUACCCCGGUAGUCCAAACUGUAAAUUAUGCUUGCUAGGUGUUUCGAUCCUUGUGGUCGGAGUGCCGUAAUCUAACGAGUUAAGCAAGUCGCCUGGGUAGUAUAUUCGCAAGAAUGAAACUCAAAGGGAUGGGCGGGGGAAC